rnacentral:rRNA from 1 species
AAUAUUGGACAAUGGGCGAAAGCCUGAUCCAGCCAUGCCGCGUGUGUGAAGAAGGUUUUCGGAUCGUAAAGCUCUGUUGCGAGGGAAGAACAAGUACGGGAGUAACUGCCCGUACCUUGACGGUACCUCGUCAGAAAGCCACGGCUAACUACGUGCCAGCAGCCGCGGUAAUACGUAGGUGGCAAGCGUUGUCCGGAAUUAUUGGGCGUAAAGCGCGCGCAGGCGGUCCUUUAAGUCUGAUGUGAAAGCCCACGGCUCAACCGUGGAGGGUCAUUGGAAACUGGGGGACUUGAGUGCAGAAGAGGAAAGUGGAAUUCCAAGUGUAGCGGUGAAAUGCGUAGAGAUUUGGAGGAACACCAGUGGCGAAGGCGACUUUCUGGUCUGUAACUGACGCUGAGGCGCGAAAGCGUGGGGAGCAAACA